UGGGCAGAUGGGUCGCGGCUGUGCAGGGGCGUGGAAGGUCAGCCCUGUUGCGCAGAGACUGGGACUGCAUAGGAGCCUCCAUCAACCUAUCUGUCAUCGCAGUUCGUUCAGCUCUCUGAUUCGAUUAAAUGUUUACUCUUAACCCUUGAUAGAUAGAAAUAAAGAGGUACAAAUAAGGAGAGCCUGGCAUGAAUAAGAGCCCUGGAAAGUGACUUUUGGACAGUGGCAUAAAAGUGUGAUCAGUGCCUCCCUGACACUUGGAUGACUCCAUCUACUUCAAAUGAGGCUGCAAGGUCUACCCUUCAAGGCCUUGGACAGUGUGUGGGAGCUAAGGUCCUGCUGCACACAGUGGCUGCAGAAGGCAUUGUUACAUGAGUGAAGAAGGUCGGGGACUUAGCUCAGUGGUUGAGCACUGCCUGAUGUAAGCCAAAUCAAGAAAGUACCUGAACCUGUACUUCAUCUCCAAACCCUAACUAGGACAUGGGAUGCAAGUCUGUGGGAUGGAUGGAUGAUGGAUCCUGUAUUAUAGCACUGUUGUCUGCAUAAUCAUCACAACUGCUAGGGUUCCCUCAAUGUAUACUCUGUUUUUGCCUAACUCACACUGGAUGUAUGUCUCUACCUCUGGGCCAUCUUAACUUCCUAACAGCCCUUAGUAGUUCUUACUAUCACUUCUCCUUAUCCAUCCUGAGCUAAUAAAGGAUGCCUUGCCCUAGGCACAGAAUCAGCAUCGGGA